rnacentral:misc_RNA from 1 species
GAUGAAGAACGUAGCGAAAUGCGAUAAGUAAUGUGAAUUGCAGAAUUCCGUGAAUCAUCGAAUCUUUGAAUGCACAUUGCGCCCUCUGGUAUUCCGGGGGGCAUGCCUGUCCGAGCGUCAUUUGCAACCCUCAAGCCCGGCUUGUGUGAUGGGUGCCGUCCCCUACGGGACGCGCCCCGAAGGCAAUGGCGGCGUCGCGGUUAUCCGAUCAGCCAAAGUGUAUGGGGCUUUGUCACUCACUUUACGGCCCGGACCGGCGCCAGUCCGAAUCAAUCUUUUUUCUAAAGUUGACCUCGGAUCAGGUAGGGAUACCCGCUGAACUUAAGCAUAUCAAUAAGCGGAGGA